CUGGAAUAUCUACCUUUUGACAUGGGAUAAGCAAAUUUUGAGCAUAGAGUCAAUACAUGGAAGAGACCAGAGCCUAAAGAAUUAUAAGAAUUUAGAGGUAGAGCAGAAUUCAGUGACCUUUUUAUGUAAAAGGCCAGAUCACAAAUAUUUUAGGCUUUGUGGCCUAUGGUCUGUGUCAUAACUACUCAUCUCUCCUGUUGCAGCACGAAAGUGGCCACAGACAAUACACACAUGAAUGGCCAAGGUGUGUUCCAAUAAAACUUUAUUUACAAAAAAGAAAAAGAAAACAAAAAACAAAAAACGAAAGAAGAGAGCUGCAGUCCAGAUUUGGUUUGUGGGUUGUAGUUGCCAAGCCCUGAACUAGAACCUACCUUGAUGAAAGCUAGAAGGGAAGAGGACACAUGAGAAAGAAAACUUGAUGGCAGAGACAAUGAAAGAAAGCUGUUAAAACUUUAAAAACUCAAAAAAGCCUGCUUGAAUAAUAGAGUUGAUAACAUAUUAAGACCUUGACCAACAAAUCUUCAAGAUACUGGAGACCUUGGCCAGUCAUCUGAGAUAUCACCUUACUGGCAAGACUACAUGGCACUUAGACCACACUGCUUAAUGGACUCCUGUGAGAGGAAAGGGGUUGGCUCAUCAAGCAAGAUGGUCUCUCUGAAUCAGAUCUGCUUGGUGCAAGUGCGAAAGAGACCACAGAUGGAAGCUCACAGAUGGAAGCCUGCUGAUCAUACAGCUGUUUCUUUGUUGGUCCCACUGAUCUUCCCGGGAAGGAAAUGGACAGCUGUCACACUCUGGCCCACUAGGCAUUGGUUGCCAACUGGGAAAGUCAUCAGAAAACUUCCUUGAAAUGGUCAUUGGGUAAGUCAUUUGGAUAUUGCUCUCAGCUACAUCUGUUCCUCAUACUGAGAGUCAGUGUGUUGGUUUCCUAAGGGCUGGCUCUUAAAUCUACCAUAUCUUGUUUUAAUAAUGAACACAAUCAGAUUUGUUUGGACUUUGGAAAAUUAUACCCGCUGAAGCCCCAAUUUUUUCAUGCAGGUAGAGUCUAAUAAAACAAUUUUUAGGGGUAGAAUGAAAGGUCCA
rnacentral:lncRNA from 1 species